GACAGAGGUGGCAAGCGUUGUUCGGAAUUACUGGGAGGAAAGGGCGCGUAGGCGGCCUUCUAAGUCAGACGUGAAAUCCCCGGGCUCAACCCGGGAACUGCGUCCGAUACUGGAAGGCUUGAAUCCGGGAGAGGGAUGCGGAAUUCCAGGUGUAGCGGUGAAAUGCGUAGAUAUCUGGAGGAACACCGGUGGCGAAGGCGGCAUCCUGGACCGGUAUUGACGCUGAGGCGCGAAAUCCAGGGGAGCAAACGGG
rnacentral:rRNA from 1 species